rnacentral:rRNA from 1 species
CUUGCUCUCUGGGUGACGAGCGGCGGACGGGUGAGUAAUGUCUGGGAAACUGCCUGAUGGAGGGGGAUAACUACUGGAAACGGUAGCUAAUACCGCAUAACGUCUUCGGACCAAAGUGGGGGACCUUCGGGCCUCACGCCAUCAGAUGUGCCCAGAUGGGAUUAGCUAGUAGGUGGGGUAAUGGCUCACCUAGGCGACGAUCCCUAGCUGGUCUGAGAGGAUGACCAGCCACACUGGAACUGAGACACGGUCCAGACUCCUACGGGAGGCAGCAGUGGGGAAUAUUGCACAAUGGGCGCAAGCCUGAUGCAGCCAUGCCGCGUGUGUGAAGAAGGCCUUCGGGUUGUAAAGCACUUUCAGCGAGGAGGAAGGGUGGUGUGUUAAUAGCGCAUCACAUUGACGUUACUCGCAGAAGAAGCACCGGCUAACUCCGUGCCAGCAGCCGCGGUAAUACGGAGGGUGCAAGCGUUAAUCGGAAUUACUGGGCGUAAAGCGCACGCAGGCGGUUUGUUAAGUCAGAUGUGAAAUCCCCGCGCUUAACGUGGGAACUGCAUUUGAAACUGGCAAGCUAGAGUCUUGUAGAGGGGGGUAGAAUUCCAGGUGUAGCGGUGAAAUGCGUAGAGAUCUGGAGGA